rnacentral:rRNA from 1 species
AGAGAGAGACAUGCGCGCAUAUCAAUAAGCGGAGGAAAAGAAACUAACAAGGAUUCCCUUAGUAACGGCGAGUGAAGCGGGAAGAGCUCAAAUUUGAAAUCUUCAAGGUUCUACCUUGACGAAUUGUAGUUUAUAGAAGUGUUUUCUGUUAGUGGAGUGGCAAAAGUUCUUUGGAAUAGGACAUCAUAGAGGGUGAGAAUCCCGUAUUUGGUCAUUCCUCCUAGCGUUGUGAUACACUUUCGACGAGUCGGAUUGUUUGGGAAUGCAGUCCUAAAAUGGGUGGUAAAUUUCAUCUAAAGCUAAAUAUUGGCGAGAGACCGAUAGCGAACAAGUACCGUGAGGGAAAGAUGAAAAGAACUUUGAAAAGAGAGUUAAACAGUACGUGAAAUUGUCAAAAGGGAAGCGUUUGACACCAGUGUUGUUUUUCCGAAAAUCAAUUACGAAUGUUUUGUUUUUGAGGAGUUAUGACUUCAUCGGCUUGCUCCUUUCUUUAUGAAACUUUCUUAAUGCACUUUUCGGUUAACAAGUCAACAUCAAUUUCUUUUGUUGUAAAAGGGUAUGAGGAAGGUGGCUUUCUUUUCGGAGAAAGUGUUUAUAGCCUUGUGCCUCUGCAAUCGGAGAGAUUGAGGUCUGCAGCGUAGAUCCUUCGGGGUUAGAUACGUUUGUGCUAAGUUAUAGCUUUUCAUAGACAACUUGUUGACUAUGUUUAGUCUUGUAGCUUACUCGCUGACGCUAUUUUACCUACGCUUAGGAUGUUGAUAGUCACAGCGUGUAC